ACUAGUAACCCAACAUGUUUACAUCAAUGCAAUUAUUAUAACCCUCUAUAUAUUUAACUCAACCAUAACACACCAUUCAUCAUAUUGCAAAGUAAUGAAUGAGCCUAAAUAUCCUUAUGCUUAUCCUUACCCCGUUCAAGGCGGAGGAGGAUACUAUCAAGGGCCACCGGUGAUGGCACCUCCGCAAUACGUCGCCGCGCCUCCACCCAGAAGAGAACCUGGCUUCCUUGAAGGCUGUCUGGCUGCUCUGUGUUGCUGCUGCCUUCUUGACGAAUGUUGUUGUGAUCCAACCAUAAUUUUCUAUUAAAGUAUCAUCCAUAUUAAUAGAAACUUGUAUGUUCUUCUUGUUUUAGAUUUUAAUUUUAAUUACAUGUAUUUAUUUUAUAAUUAAUAGAAACUUGUAUGUUCUUCUUGUUUUAGAUUUUAAUUACAUGUAUUUAUUUUAAAA